AUUGAACGCUGGCGGCGGGCCUAACACAUGCAAGUCGAACGAGUGGCGGACGGGUGGGUAAUGUCUGGGAAAAAGCCUGAUGGCGGGGGAUAACAACUGGAAACGGUAGCUACUACCGCAUACCAUCAGCUGUGCCCAGAAUGGGUUAGCUAGUUGGUGGGGUAAAGGCUCACCAAGGCCACGAUCCCUAGCUGGUCUGAGAGGAUGACCAGCCACACUGGAACUGAGACACGGUCCAGACUCCUACGGAAGGCAGCAGUGGUGAAUAUUGCACAAUGGGCGCAAGCCUGAUGCAGCCAUGCCGCGUGAAUGAUGAAGGCCUUCGGGUUGUAAAGUACUUUCAGCAGGGAGGCGUGACCCGCAGAAGAAGCACCGGCUAACUCCGUGACAGCAGCCGCGGUAAUAC
rnacentral:rRNA from 1 species